rnacentral:lncRNA from 1 species
ACUCAGUCUUGUGAAUCACAUAGGACUACUUCUUUUCUACCAAGAUCGAUAGAUUCCAUCUAGGUGCAUCCUACUCCAACAACGAACCUGAAUCUACUAUAGCUAACAUACAUAGCAAGGAUCCGAAUAGCUAGGGACCAAGAAAAUAUGCAGUCAAACUUAGUAGCCUCGCUGUGAAUAGCCAAUGACACCACAGGUUAAAAGAUCACUCACAUCACCAU